GGGAAAAGAGUUGAAACUGUUUUGACGAUUUCUGAUUUUGAAGGGCUGGGUUUGAGGCAUCUCUGGAAACCAGCCAUUGACAUCUACGGAGAGGUUAUUGCCAUGUUCGAAGCGAACUAUCCUGAGUACCUUAAAAAUGUAUUUGUUAUUAAAGCACCGAAACUGUUCCCUGUAGCUUACAACCUGGUGAAGCGCCUUCUGA